GACGAACGCUGGCGGCGUGCUUAACACAUGCAAGUCGAACGGUGACCUCGAGAGCUUGCUCUUGAGUGAUCAGUGGCGAACGGGUGAGUAACACGUGAGUAACCUGCCCCAGACUCUGGAAUAACCCCGGGAAACCGGAGCUAUUACCGGAUACGAAGUGGAGCCGCAUGGCUACUACUUGGAAAGUUUUUCGGUCUGGGAUGGACUCGCGGCCUAUCAGCUUGUUGGUGAGGUAACGGCUCACCAAGGCGACGACGGGUAGCCGGCCUGAGAGGGCGACCGGCCACACUGGGACUGAGACACGGCCCAGACUCCUACGGGAGGCAGCAGUGGGGAAUAUUGCACAAUGGGCGAAAGCCUGAUGCAGCGACGCCGCGUGAGGGAUGACGGCCUUCGGGUUGUAAACCUCUUUCAGCAGGGAAGAAGCGAAGGUGACGGUACCUGCAGAAGAAGCACCGGCUAACUACGUGCCAGCAGCCGCGGUAAUAC
rnacentral:rRNA from 1 species